rnacentral:rRNA from 1 species
AACGAACGCUGGCGGCAUGCCUAACACAUGCAAGUCGAACGAGACCUUCGGGUCUAGUGGCGCCCGGGUGCGUAACGCGUGGGAACCUGCCCGUAGGCUCGGAAUAACUCCGCGAAAGGGGUGCGAAUACCGGAUAAUUUCUGCGGACCAAAGAUUUAUCGCCUUUGGAUGUGGCCGCGUUGGAUUGGCUAGUUGGUAGGGUAAAAGCAUACCAAGGCGACGAGCCAUAGCUGGUCUGAGAGGAUGAUCAGCCACACUGGGACUGAGACACGGCCCCGACUCGUACGAGAGGCAGCAGUGAGGGAUAUUGGAGCAUGGGCGAAAGGCUGAUCCAGCAAUGCCGCGUGAGUGAUGAAGGGCUUAGAGUUGUAAAGCUCUUUUAGCCAGGCUGAUAAUGACAGUACCGGGAGAAUAAGCUCCGGCUAACUACGUG